rnacentral:lncRNA from 1 species
AGGUUGCGGUGACCCAUCCCUCAAGCAGGCAGGUCUCCAAGGAUGCAAAGCCAGACUUCAGCACUAGGGAUGACCCGAAGUUAGGUCUGGUUGAUUGGGGGUGCUCACGAUCGCGACCCCCGCACCGCACUGCGCCGCAGCCCGCAGCGCCCCGGGUGCGCGCAGCCCCAGCCCCGCCUCUUCCCUAUGCGCCCCGCCCCUCCCGGCGCGUGCCACCCGCGCACCCGGGGAGCUCGCGAGGAACCCGCGGGGUAGGCGGCCGGUGUCCCGGCGCAGGCGCGCUGGUGUCGCCGCCGCUCCCGCCAGCCGCCCCGCACGCGCCCCCGCCCCGCCUCCGCACGCGCCGCCGCCCCGGGCGCCUGUGAUUGGCGGUCAGCGGGGCCCGCAGGUGGCGGCGGCCGC